ACCGCGCGCUGCUUCCGGCCCUUCGAGCGGCCCCGGCGGGAGCGGCGCCUCCGGCGGCGGUGAGCCCUGAGCGGGCCGAGGGAGGGAUGGGGCUGCCCGGGGGCCAUUCUGGAUUUCCUUAGGCUAUAAAAACGUUUAAGCCUCUAAACAUAUCAGACCUGUUUUCCUGCAUUCCACAUCUACAGCUUACCUGUACCCUAAAGAACAUAAAGGAAACAGAUAAGUGUCAAGAAGCCUUCAGUGGUACUUCUUCCAUGGAGAAUGUGUGGAAAAAUGCAAAUGCUGUGCACGUGUGAAAGAGAGGCCAGACUCAAAGCUGUUCCUGACUGUUGAUCCUUAACACUAUCAGAGUGAUAAACUUCUCUUUGUCAGAAAUGUCACCUUAGAGGUGAAGUGAGUAGCAGCUGUGAGUCACAGUGGCAGUGCAGGCUCUGUCGAUGGGAACUUGUUUUCUCACCGUCUGUUCCAUGAGCUGCCAUCCCCCACAGCUCCUCAGACUGCUGUCUGCACGGACCACGCAGUCAGGACUGAACUCAGCUGGGAGUAGUUUUAUGUGUGCCUACUGAGUGAGGGCUGCGCUUCUGGUUUCUGUUGAAAUCCAAACCCAUUUUGUUAGCUUUUCCUUACAGAAGAACAAGAACGCUUGGCCCUCUGUUGGCUUUGCCCUUUUUCACACAAGCUCUUGACAUAGAAGUUUUCUCCUUUGGUCUCUCAGGUCCUUUACUGUGAAUAAUAAUCCAUGUUUCCUGUUUUUAUUAUUAUUAUUCCUUUUCUACAAAGGCUUUAAGAGCAGUAGAGCUUUCCCUGUCUGUAGAGCUAAUCUGCAGUGCUGAAAGCUGUGGAUGCUGGUUUGGCUGCCUGUCUGCAAAAGAAAAGGGAGACCUAUCAAUCAACAAGAAAUGCUGAGAGCAGCAAAUGAAACUCUUUGCUUUUUCCAUUGGGCAACAAGGGCCUCUCAGGAUUAAACCUUUUCUAAAUUUAGCUACAUCUCACUAGAGUUAGGAUCAGGAGUUAUCAGAAGGCAAUGACGUCUGUCCUCUGGAAGUCUGAGUCCUGGCAUGCACCUCUCGUACUCUGUGCUGCAGCAGUUUGGAGCUGGGAACAUUCUGCACAGCAUGGGACUCUUCAGACGUGGCAGGAUUUCUCAGAGCACUUGAAAUACAUACUCUCAGCUGCCUGCUUGUGUUUAUUAUUCUGUCCAGGUCCUGAGCAAAACUUGUUCAUGCUCUGAAAUGGACAUCAUGGGAGAGCAGAAUGGUUAAGCCAUGUGAAACAUUCUGCUGCUUUUUUUUUUGUUGUUGUUCUUAAUAUGUGUAAGACUUGCACAGACCUUCUUUUCUAUUGGUAUUAAAUAUCAUUCCAAUGCAACUUAAAUUCUCAGCUGUUCUGGUAAGGAGUACUAAUUAACACUUUCAGAGUUAGAUUUGAGGAGACAUAAGUGAAACCCAUCAAAAAUCAAUAGCCCUUUGCAGGUCCCCAUUGAGUCAUCCAGGCAGGGAGCUCCUUUGCUCCUUGUGGCAUGGAAGCAUGUUAACCUGCUGGGAAAUGCCCAGCUAACCUUCUUCUUCCAGCUGGAGGAGAGCCUCAAGGGAGCAGCAUGCACAGGCAACUAAGAGCUUCCCAGAUGUGUAGAAGCUGUAUUGAACCCUGUGCCCCUAUAGCGUUGGUUAAAAAGAAGUUACUUCUGAAAGAAACAUCUUUGCUAGCUGGAAUGAAGGAGGCCUGUCUGAAAUUGUACUAAAGGUUACCAGUGCUGAGCCAUGGAAAUUCAAGAAAGGUUCCUUAUCUCUCACUAUGAAAAGCUCCACUAAAUGAAAGUUGUGACCUCU